CCAGGAUUAGAUACCCUGUUAGUCCACGCUGUAAACGAUGUCGAUUUGGAGUUUGUUGCCUAGAGUGAUGGGCUCCGAAGCUAACGCGAUAAAUCGACCGCCUGGGGAGUACGGCCGCAAGGUUAAAACUCAAAUGAAUUGACGGGGGCCCGCACAAGCGGUGGAGCAUGUGGUUUAAUUCGAUGCAACGCGAAGAACCUUACCUGGUCUUGACAUCCAUAGAAUUCUGCAGAGAUGUGGGAGCGCCUUCGGGAACUAUGAGACAGGUGCUGCAUGGCUGUCGUCAGCUCGUGUUGUGAAAUGUUGGGUUAAGUCCCGCAACGAGCGCAACCCUUAUUCUUUGUUGCUAGCGAUUUGGUCGGGAACUCAAAGGAGACUGCCGUUGAUAAAGCGGAGGAAGGUGGGGACGACGUCAAGUCAUCAUGGCCCUUACGACCAGGGCUACACACGUGCUACAAUGGCGUAUACAAAGGGAAGCGAAGGUGCGAGCUGGAGCGGAUCUCAUAAAGUACGUCUAAGUUCGGAUUGGAGUCUGCAACUCGACUCCAUGAAGUCGGAAUCGCUAGUAAUCGUAGAUCAGAAUGCUACGGUGAAUACGUUCCCGGGCCUUGUACACACCGCCCGUCACACCAUGGGAGUGGGUUGCACCAGAAGUAGAUAGCUUAACCGCGAGGGGGGCGUUUACCACGGUGUGAUUCAUGACUGGGGUGAAGUCGUAACAAGGUAACCA
rnacentral:rRNA from 1 species